AGAACUCCAGAGAAGGAAGCUUUCUAGAUACUUGUCACAUACACUGACUGGCUGCAUUUAAAAUGGAGAAACUGUGAGAUGCCCUCACUGAAGGCUGGGGAUAGUUUGAGCUACAGGUGAAACCCCCUCACCCUGUCACACUCACCCCCUCACCCUGUCAAAACUCACCCACACCUUGUCAUACUCACCCCCUCAUCCUGUCAAAACUAACCUCCACACCCUGUCAUACUCACCACCUCCCCCUGUCAAAACCCACCCACACCUUGUCAUACUCACCACCUGACCCUGUCAAAACUCACCCACACCCUGUCAAAACUCACCCACAUCCUGUCACUCUCACUCCCACACCCUGUCACACUCCCCCACACCCUGUCACACUCCCCCCCCUCAUCCUGUCACACUCCCCCUCACUCUGUCACACUCACCUUCACACCCUGUCACUCCCUAUCACACUCACCUCCCCAACUUAUCACAUUCACUCCCUUACUGCGUGUUACUUACCUGACCUUUAACUCUCACACUCACCUCCCUAACCCUGUCACACUCAGCACCCCAUCAUAGUCACACACCACCCUUCACCUUGCCACACAUCCUGUCACACUCAACCCUUCAACCUGUUACACUCACCCAUCAAUUCUGUCACACUCACCCACCCACCCACUCCACCCACUCACCAACUCAUACCCUCACCCCCAUAAUCAUGUCAAACUCACGCUAUAACUGUUUCACACUCACACACCCACUCACUAACUCUCACCCCCAUAAUGCUGUCAAACCCACCCUCUAACUCUAUCACACUCACCCCAUCACACUUACCCCCCUCACCCUGCCACAGUCACUACCCCAAUCAGCCUAUCACAGUCACCCCCUGAAGAUAGUCAUCCCCAUACACAGUAACCUCCUACAUAUGAAACACAACCUCACCAUGAACACAACACACAAAGACCACAAGCAACAUCCCUUACACGCAACACAAUCGCUUUAGAAACUGCAGUGGCUGGCGGGAAGGUUAGCAGGCAGGCAAUGCUGGGAUAUCACUGUUCCCAACAUGCACCAGGUUUUUACACUAGAAAAGAAAGAUAAGGGAGGCCGCUCAACUGAGUCUCUGCUCGUGUGAAAAAAUGUCAAGCCUUGCCACUGCCUAUAAAGUACUGGUUUAGCAUCUAGAACAUCCAGAAUAGUAUGUGGAAUGGAAUUAUUAGGAUACUGAAUAUUUUCCUAAAUUAUUUUGCUACAUGCUGAGUGUGUGUAUAUGCGACUUACUUUCAUGUCUAGUAGCAGGACAUUUCAAUGUCUGUCUGGGUGUUCUAUAUUCCGACUCUUACCUGGAAAUACUGAAUAGGACCUCCAACAAGCUCAAAGUUCUAUGGCAUUUACACACAGAAUCUGUAAAACAUUGCAAGGGUGGUAAUUGUUAUUUAUCAUGUUUACGUUUGAUUUGGAGGGCUACAUGUCACUCCAGAGAGCUGAAAUCAGUUUUCUAUUGUAAAUGUAUCUACAUUAAAAUCAGCACUAUGAGAUAAAAUGAUGCGAGCGAUAUUCACUAAGCUGUGAUUUGUCAGAAAUUGGCCAGGGAAUAUACAAAUUUAGGUCAACGUAGAUGAAAAUUAUGCAGCUUCUAUUUUUCUAUUUUGGCUUAAAGUGUGAGAAUUAUAAUAACACCUGUGCUUCCAGUUUAACAAACUGUAUGGGCUACUUGCCUUUUAUCUGGCAUAACAAUCAAUAAUUUUAUGUGUUUGCAAUGUUGCUGUUUUUUUUUUUUAAAUCAUUGCCGUUUCUUUAAACAGAGGAAGGUGCGGAGAGAGUUAAUGCACAGACAAAUAACUGGAAGUCGAGGGAGUCAGCUUUGCAAAAAUCCAGAUGUUCUCUGGCUAGAGGAGUAUUCAAGGACAGCUUCCAAAUUCCUUUCAGCAGAUACAAAAUUUAAAGCUAAGUUAAAAUAAAAAUGCACCUGUCAGUGAG